rnacentral:rRNA from 1 species
UGGGGAAUUGUUCACAAUGGGCGCAAGCCUGAUGACGCAACGCCGCGUGGGGGAUGAAGGUCUUCGGAUUGUAAACCCCUGUCGAACGGGACGAAAGACUCGCGAGCUAAUCAUCGCGGGAGUGACGGUACCGUUAAAGGAAGCCACGGCUAACUCUGUGCCAGCAGCCGCGGUAAUACAGAGGUGGCAAGCGUUGUUCGGAAUUACUGGGCGUAAAGGGCGAGUAGGUGGCCAUCUAAGUCAGACGUGAAAUCCCCCGGCUUAACCUGGGAACUGCGUCUGAUACUGGACGGCUUGAGUAUGGGAGAGGAACGUAGAAUUCCAGGUGUAGCGGUGAAAUGCGUAGAUAUCUGGAGGAAUACCGGUGGCGAAGGCGGCGUUCUGGACCAUUACUGACACUGAACCGCGAAAGCUAGGGGAGCAAACGG